AUUGAACGCUGGCGGCAUGCCUUACACAUGCAAGUCGAACGGUAACAGGUCUUCGGAUGCUGACGAGUGGCGAACGGGUGAGUAAUACAUCGGAACGUGCCCGAGAGUGGGGGAUAACGAGGCGAAAGCUUUGCUAAUACCGCAUACGAUCUCAGGAUGAAAGCAGGGGACCGCAAGGCCUUGCGCUCACGGAGCGGCCGAUGGCAGAUUAGGUAGUUGGUGGGAUAAAAGCUUACCAAGCCGACGAUCUGUAGCUGGUCUGAGAGGACGACCAGCCACACUGGGACUGAGACACGGCCCAGACUCCUACGGGAGGCAGCAGUGGGGAAUUUUGGACAAUGGGCGCAAGCCUGAUCCAGCCAUGCCGCGUGCAGGAUGAAGGCCUUCGGGUUGUAAACUGCUUUUGUACGGAACGAAAAGACUCUGGUUAAUACCUGGGGUCCAUGACGGUACCGUAAGAGUAAGCACCGGCUAACUACGUGCCAGCAGCCGCGGUAAGAC
rnacentral:rRNA from 1 species